UCCCUGGUAGUCCAGUGGUUAAGACUCUGUACUUUCAUUGCAGGGAGCAUGGGUUCGAUCCCUGGUUGGAGAA
rfam:TPA: Bos taurus chromosome 25, whole genome shotgun sequence.